rnacentral:rRNA from 1 species
CUAGCUGUAAACGAUGGAUACUAGGCGUUGAGAGUAUCGACCCUCUCAGUGUCGUAGCUAACGCGUUAAGUAUCCCGCCUGGGGAGUACGCGCGCAAGUGUGAAACUCAAAGGAAUUGACGGGGGCCCGCACAAGCGGUGGAGUAUGUGGUUUAAUUCGAUGCAACGCGAAGAACCUUACCAGGGCUUGACAUGUCCGGAACCCUGCCCAAAGGCGGGGGUGCCUACGGGAACCGGAACACAGGUGGUGC